CCCUCAUGAAGCUUGCAUUCUUGAUGGCAUGUAAGGGGUGGGGGGCAGGAAAACAAAAUGCCAAGCAUGAUAAGAAGGGCACUCGAUGGGUGAUGAGGCUGGGGCAAAAAUAAAAGGCAGAGGAGGUGAAAGAUCUCACCUGGAUGGAGCCCCUCAGGUAGUUGUCGCCGUCCUCAUGUCCUGAGGUCUCAGUCUAGGGCUUAGAAGUGUUGGUGACCUGCUGGGCUGCCUCCCCGACCCCGUGGACUGUUUGACUCUAGGCCCAACUUCCUUAUGUAUAUAUGGGAUAUAAAAGAACCUGUCUUAUAGAGGCUCAGCACCUAGCAGGCGCUGUGCUCUGCACCAUCUUAGCAUCAUCUUUAUCCAAGGACAAUUAGGAAAGGGUCGGGAGAAGACCUUGGGACCAGUAGCCCCCACCUCUGUCUGCCCAAGCCUCUUCUCUGCUGACCCAGCUGUGGAGGAAGGAGCUAGGUCCCCCACGGUGCCGUGCAGGCCCAUGCCUCUGCUGGAGGCAUGUGACAUAUUGUGGCCUGAUGUGGUCUGUUUUUCCCCUCCUGGUGCAAGACAUGACUCAGAGGGCCGUGCUGGGGGAAUGCUUCCUCUGGCAUGCCCACCUCAUCGCCCCUGCUUUCUUUUGAAUCGUUGAAUCAGACUUUAUAUCUGGCUCUGCCAUUCACUGGCCUUAUUUAUGCAGAAAAAAAACGGCCCCACAGUUCCAACUUGCUCAACAGCCCGAAAGACUUAGCUUUGGCCCCGAGGAGGGAAGGAGGGUGGGUGGGUUCCCAAACGAGGGGAAAAAGAAAGAAAAAGAAAGAGCCAUCAACAAUCAAAACAAUGUCCUCCGCCCUGUCUAAUCUGGGUAGCUUUCAGGGUUGGGGUAACGCGUUUCCACAGUGGAUCCCCCCCUUCACCCCCUCCCAGGCUGUUUUCACAGGAAGCGAAUCCUGGGGCGUUUUCAACGUGCCCCUCCAGGCAGAACAAUGAGGCCCUUGAAGCCUGGGAUCCUCGCUUCCUCCUGUUAUCCCGGAGCAGGCGAGGGAGUCUGCGCGCGGAGGGGACCCCGGGACCUACGCAGGGCCAGCGGUGGGGGAGGGCCUGGCCUGCAGGGUGUCGCCGAGCCGCCCCGGGGAAGCCCGGCAGCCAAAUCACAGCAAAGGCUGGAGCUGGCCUAAAUGCCUAUUAUUACCUGGAGACCAACUCAAUGAAGGAUUUAUGCAACUGAGUAUGGUAUAGUAUGCAUGACUAUAACACACACACACACACACACAGACACACAGACACACACACACACACACACACAGACACACACACACACACACACACACUUUGCCUUUAUAUACUUCCUUCUGGAAGGACAAAGAUAUGUGAACAAAGGCUGCUCUGGGGAGCAAAGCCAAGAUCCAGAAGACUCUGCAGAUGAGUGGGAGGGAGAGAGACCUCUGCUCUAAACCACUUCCUCUCUUUUGGAUUUUGAAUCGUCUGAACACAUUACCUAUUCAAAAAAUUAUAUCAUUCCCAUUUUAAAAAAAGAACAUUUCAAAGGGGAGAUGAAGAGCUGGGAACUGAGCAGCUGAGAAUGAAGGCAGAGUCUGCACAGAUAGACUAGACAAAUAGCAAGGGACCUAGGCUUGGAGGUGGGAGCAGGAUCUGGGGACUCAGGACAGGGAGUCAGUUGGAGCAGAGUUGGAGGCCUUCUGGGGAAGACGAUGGCUGGGUUGCUUCAGGCUUGGAAGAAUUCAUCACACUGGUACCCAGAGUAACUUCAGCUUCACAAUCGCCUAUUGACCGGGCACCUGUUCCUGCCCCAGACGCUAUGCAAAUGCCGGCCAGGAGCGAAGCCGCCAGCCCCUCGGGCCAUUGUGCAUUGAACCCUGAUGGCGCCCUGCCAGCUCCCAGCCGGCCUUUGUUCACUAGCUGUGCUGAGCCACCCCCGCCACCGCCUCCGCCCGCCUGAGGUGCCCUGCCGAGGAACCGCUUGCUGACAGCCACUUGGGUCCUUGCACCUGAAGAAAGGCUGCUCAAUCUGGAGGCCAGGCCCACGCUGAGGCUGGGCCAGGGGCCCCGAGGAGAAGAGGCAGGCAGCUCGCAGGCUGGGGUCCUUAGCUCCUGUCCCCGGGGACCGCGGAGAGGGGCCUGGCAGGCGGAGGAGGGGGCAACCCGGACCAUGCCAUCUGGGGGCGGAGAGAUUAUAAUAAUCGCUCUCACAUCUGCUGAGGGCCUACCCGCCGCAAAGCCCUCUCAGGGCUGGUCUCCCUGCAGGCACACCUGCCUCUCGAAGAGGGCUAGAUUGUGCCUUUGGGGGUGGGGUGGGGAUUGUAGUCCUCUGGGGGGAGCUGGCUGAGAUCAAACAGUGGAGACAGGGGCUCAAACCCACGGGGGUGGAUGUCUCACUUCCCAGACUUUGGGUGUAAAGUUUGGCUGUUCUUCUUCAUCUCUUCUACCUGUCCUUUAGCAGGAUGGCUGACUCCUCGGCUUCAGGGUGCGACAGAUAGCUCUGCCUCAGUUGCUUUUCUUUCUGCAAAAGGAGUUUUAGGUUGUUCUGAUAGUUACAAUAGGCAAGGCUCUGCCAUCUAUUCCAACAUAACAAAUAAAGAGACAGGUAAUGAAAGGCAAAGAUGAAGUCAGUGUGGUCAUCCUAGAUAGAACAGAUAAGGGAAUCUAGUGAUCGAUCCCCCAGGUCCCAUUCUGAAGUACUGACAUGAACUUUAGGCUUACCAAGGAAGAGGGAAGAGGGGACAAAGGCAUAUGCAUAAUUAUGUAGUCUCUGUCAAAGUGUGGUCCCACCCAGCGCUGCCUCAGCUCUGGCCUUGGUGAGUUGUCCAAAGAAGUCCUUGUAAGGCCAAGAGGCAAGCUGGCUCCAAAAAGAUGAUAUCCUGCUCCAAGGUGCUACCACACCCUCACGGAUGACGGCCCUUGCCUGGGGUUUUCUGUCCAGCUAGAUGCUGUUGUUUCUGGAAUUCAUGGUCACUGACUACUUUGGGGGUCUGGACAGGACAAUAUAAAAAGCUGACAGUUAUCAUGCCUCAGUUUCCCAUCUUUGUGCCUUCAAUCUGGGAGUGGGGUGAGGUAGGCUGGAGUAGCCUUGGUUCUAGACAGCUCCUCCUGGGUGAUUAGUUUCUCUCUGUAUGGAGGCGUGCGGCUCACCCACAGUACAGUAAGCACAAAGGCAAGGUGAGGGUGCCAGGCUUUCACUCCACUUCAGUUGUCCUGUGGGUCUAGGGGAGGAGUAAAUAUAGUUUCUGAGUGCCUGAAAAAAGCAUCCUCCAUGCUGGGACAGGCUCCAAAGCUAGAUGGCAUCUCCUGGCACCCGCUGAAGUGCCAGCCCAUGGUCCCCAGUGCAGAGUCACUGAACCAAAGGCUGAGGUGGCACUGCUCUCCAGUUUUCAUGUCAUCUGACGCACAGACAAGUUUGAAGACCACCAACUCCCAAUCAGUGCUGGCUCUCCUGUAUCCAAGCCUUGGCUCACAUAAUUCCCUCCUUUAUAGCUCGGCUUCUCUCCCGAGACACCAAUGCCUCCCUACCUGAACUUUUUCUCACAUCCGAUGUUCCCAGGCUUAGGACAUCCAGACAAGUGAGGCCCACUUUUGAUCAAGGGUAGCGGGGUGUGAUGGUUUGUAUAUGCUCCAAGACAAGAACAUGGCACUAUUAGAUGGUUUGUAUAUGCUCCAGGGAGUGGCACUAUUAGAAGGUGUGGCCCUGUUGGAGUAGGUGUGUCAUUGUGGGUGUGGGCUUUAAGACCCUCAUCCUAAAUCCCGGCGUGGUGGCACACUCCUUUAAUCCCAGCACUCGGGAGGCAGAGGCAGGCGGAUUUCUGAGUUCAAGGCCAGCCUGAUCUACAAAGUGAGUUCCAGGACAGCCAGGGCUAUAGACGACAAAAACAAAACGAAACAAAAAACAAAACAAAACAAAACCUCAUCCUAGCAUGCCUGAAAGUCAGCCUUCUGCUGGCAGCUUUCAGAUGAAGAUGUAGAACUCUCAGCUCCUCCUGUCCCAUGCCUGCCUGGAUGCUGCCAUGUUCUUGCCUUGAUAUAAUGGACUGAACCUCUGAACCCUGUAAGCCAGCCCCAAUUAAAUGUUGUUAUUAUAAGAGUUGCCUUGGUCAUGGUGUCUG
rnacentral:lncRNA from 1 species